UGUAGCACAGAACUGAAUCACACUGAAAUUGCAAAAACCAAAUAAAUUUUUGCAUCAUUAAGUUCCCAGUAAAGCUAUAAUUACAAUUCCUCCCACAUUUACCAAACAAAACAGUUCAUCUGCCAAAAAUAAACAUCAUUCCAAAAGGAAUAAAAGACCAAAAAAAAAGUGAGAAGAUGUUUGCUUCAACAUCAAUAGCUGGUGACAAAGCAAUGCAUUUAAAAUGUUAUUGGCAAAUCUACUCCUAAAUGCUUGGUUAACAGGUGAAAGAGUUGUGAAAUGGAUCCAGAAGAUUGGCACUGGACAUAUUGGCCAAGUGCUGCCUACCCCCAAUCCUUGAUUAGAGGUCAAGGGGAGUUCAAGCGUUCAGUUCUCAUUCAGGAGGGUCAAGACUCGAGAGUUUUAGCGGUCAAGGAUGGGGGACAAGGAAUGAAAAGGGUACCUAUUGCCAAUAGUUAAAAGAAAUGCGUAGGAGGGAUUCAUAAUAACAUCAUUUAGUCAGAGUGUCCACACUUUUAAAUGUCACCUUAGAUAAUAAAUCACAACAAUUGCUAGUUUUGGCCACAUCAUACGUCAUCACACCAAUUGUGGCAAAGAUGAGCCUUUUAAGGGAAUAAGAUGCAAACCUAAUGGAGCAUAGAAGAAUGAGUGCAACGUUGAAAAGAAAGGAGUUCAUUAGAGUUGCUCCCCACCUGUAAGACAAGUCCACUCAAUAAUAUAAAUAAGCCAUCAAAAGAUUAAAAUAAAAAAUAAAAUCUGCCAACAAAUGAUUACAUAAACACAGUGCAUGCUAAAAUUAAUAUUAAAAUAAAAACAGUUAUCUCCUCAUAAUUUAUUACUUCAUAGGAUGAAUUGUGAUGAAAACUAAU
rnacentral:misc_RNA from 1 species